CUCGUAGGCGGCCAACUAAGUCAGACGUGAAAUCCCUCGGCUUAACCGGGGAACUGCAUCUGAUACUGGAUGGCUUGAGAUUGGGAGAGGGAUGCGGAAUUCCAGGUGUAGCGGUGAAAUGCGUAGAUAUCUGGAGGAACACCGGUGGCGAAGGCGGCAUCCUGGACCAACACUGACGCUGAGGAGCGAAAGCCAGGGGAGCAAAACGG
rnacentral:rRNA from 1 species